CGAGAGCAUGGAGAUCGUUGACGAUUCUUAAAAGUCGUUCAAACAUAACACCAAUAGGUUCCUUCUCUAUUUUAAAAGUUUCAUAUUUAUGAGUUAGAAUAUCAAUUUUGGAUUCUCGGACUUGAGGCGUACCUUCAUAAAUGAUCUCGAGUUUGUCCCGCAUCUCCUUGGUGGUUGUGCAGCAAGAGAUUUUCCGAUAGUCAUUCGGAUUCACCGCACAAUAUAAUACUGGAUGGCCCUUGCAUUAUUUUCAACUAUCUUCAUGUCCUUGGCAUCAUAUUCA
rnacentral:lncRNA from 1 species